AAUUUUGGUAACUUGAGUGUUAAGGGGGCGACAACAACUCUGGAGUUAACUCUUUCUGUGAAACAAGGCAUUACAGUUGUUUAAUUUGUUCUUUUUAUUAAUUUUUCUAGGUGCCAUAGAUACCUAUCUACCUCUUAAUAAAUUGGCUAUGCAUUUGGUUAAUCACGAUGACAAGUAUGCCUUAUCUGGUAUUAUUAUAUCACUGCUAUGUGGUUUUGUUUGGUACUGAACGAUUUGGAUAUGUUGGCUUUUGCAGAAUAGAUUUAGACGGAAUUUAAUACAGGGAGGAAUUGCAUACACAACAUAAUAUUUUUGUUAAUUUGUUUUUCUCUGUUUUGCUCCUACGUUUCUUGUAUCUUAUUAUACUGUCAUGGAAAGCACGUAAUUGACAGAGACAUCAAACCAUAAAACCUUCUCAUUGGUCAACAGGGUGAACUCAAGAUAGCAGAUUUUGGGUGGUCAGUGCACGCAUUCAACUGCAAGAGGACCAUGUGUGGCACUCUUGAUUACCUCCCUCAUGCGAUGGAUGAGUUUCAAUGUUGCUGGCAAGCUGUUUAUUCUGCAGUGUGGUUGCUGCAGUGUUGUUGUUUAUGGAGUUACUGGGAUUCUCAAC